CAGUAGCCGCGGUAAUACGUAGGGUGCAAGCGUUAAUCGGAAUUACUGGGCGUAAAGCGUGCGCAGGCGGUUAUAUAAGACAGAUGUGAAAUCCCCGGGCUCAACCUGGGAACUGCAUUUGUGACUGUAUAGCUAGAGUACGGCAGAGGGGGAUGGAAUUCCGCGUGUAGCAGUGAAAUGCGUAGAUAUGCGGAGGAACACCGAUGGUGAAGGCAAUCCCCUGGGCCUGUACUGACGCUCAUGCACGAAAGCGUGGGGAGCAAACAGGAUUAGAGACCCGCGUAGUCCCUGUCUCUUAUAC
rnacentral:rRNA from 1 species